rnacentral:lncRNA from 1 species
UAAAAAUGAAGGAUAAAAAUGAAGGAUACCGAGGCAGUGACGAACAGUACAAGUAAGUUAUUGACAAACUUGCUUCUUUCAAGUGGUCUACAUGGUUCAUCCAUGAUGGCCCAAUGUAUCCAAGGCUGAAUUAAAUUGCCAUCUCUAUACUCAUGUUCAGAACUCAGUUUGGUGGUGGUAAAUCAACCGGGUGGGAUUGAUCUAUGAUUCCGUUGAAAAUUUUUGUAGAAUUGUUUGGACACCAAAGUUGAGAAGUCAAAAACGCAAUUGAAGGAAAGAAAGAACAUGGCAAAGAUGAUCAGAGGUGUAAAGAAGAAAUAUGGUGAUUGGAGGAAGUUAACAGGGCUCUCACUUGAUAGCCAAUAGUGUAUUUAAAAUGGCGGGAUUCACACUUUUCGACCUAUAUUGUAAGAAGAACCUAAUCCUCAAUCGGCAAGAUCAGAGAUGAAAUGUAAUUGUCAGAGUCAAGAAGGUUGGAACCAUCAAAGAAGUCUAAGAUCAGAAAUGAAAAGAUUUUUGGAUUACAUCGGAAGCUGGAUCGUCUCAACCACCUUCAAGCGAGACCGAAGCACUUCGAAAUCAGGUUGCUUCACUAGAAGAGGAAUUGAAACAAAGCAAUGGAAAAUAUGAAAAAUUGUCAAUGUUCACGCCCUCAAAGUUUUUGGAUUUUGAGAGCUUAUUAUCCACACGUAUUAUCAGUAGUGAAGCAAAUGAUUUGGAUGAGCAACUCAAUGACCAUAACAGUUUGAUCUAGGAGGUGAGAUAGUUCAAACUUAUUUUGUUAAUGCUGUAUUGAUUAAUGUUUUGAAGUUUAGAACAAAUCUACCAAGUAUUAUUUAUUUAUAUGUUUGAUUCUAUACUUUUUAUAGUUUAGAAAUAACAUCCU